UUAAGCGACUAAGCGUACACGGUGGAUGCCCACGGCAGUCAGAGGCGAUGAAGGACGUGCUAAUCUGCGAUAAGCGUCGGUAAGGUGAUAUGAACCGUUAUAACCGGCGAUUUCCGAAUGGGGAAACCCAGUGUGAUUCGUCACACUAUCAUUAACUGAAUCCAUAGGUUAAUGAGGCGAACCGGGGGAACUGAAACAUCUAAGUACCCCGAGGAAAAGAAAUCAACCGAGAUUCCCCCAGUAGCGGCGAGCGAACGGGGAGGAGCCCAGAGCCUGAAUCAGUGUGUGUGUUAGUGGAAGCGUCUGGAAAGGCGCGCGAUACAGGGUGACAGCCCCGUACACAAAAAUGCACAUACUGUGAGCUCGAUGAGUAGGGCGGGACACGUGGUAUCCUGUCUGAAUAUGGGGGGACCAUCCUCCAAGGCUAAAUACUCCUGACUGACCGAUAGUGAACCAGUACCGUGAGGGAAAGGCGAAAAGAACCCCGGCGAGGGGAGUGAAAAAGAACCUGAAACCGUGUACGUACAAGCAGUGGGAGCCUCUUUAUGGGGUGACUGCGUACCUUUUGUAUAAUGGGUCAGCGACUUAUAUUCUGUAGCAAGGUUAACCGAAUAGGGGAGCCGAAGGGAAACCGAGUCUUAACUGGGCGUUAAGUUGCAGGGUAUAGACCCGAAACCCGGUGAUCUAGCCAUGGGCAGGUUGAAGGUUGGGUAACACUAACUGGAGGACCGAACCGACUAAUGUUGAAAAAUUAGCGGAUGACUUGUGGCUGGGGGUGAAAGGCCAAUCAAACCGGGAGAUAGCUGGUUCUCCCCGAAAGCUAUUUAGGUAGCGCCUCGUGAAUUCAUCUCCGGGGGUAGAGCACUGUUUCGGCAAGGGGGUCAUCCCGACUUACCAACCCGAUGCAAACUGCGAAUACCGGAGAAUGUUAUCACGGGAGACACACGGCGGGUGCUAACGUCCGUCGUGAAGAGGGAAACAACCCAGACCGCCAGCUAAGGUCCCAAAGUCAUGGUUAAGUGGGAAACGAUGUGGGAAGGCCCAGACAGCCAGGAUGUUGGCUUAGAAGCAGCCAUCAUUUAAAGAAAGCGUAAUAGCUCACUGGUCGAGUCGGCCUGCGCGGAAGAUGUAACGGGGCUAAACCAUGCACCGAAGCUGCGGCAGCGACACUAUGUGUUGUUGGGUAGGGGAGCGUUCUGUAAGCCUGUGAAGGUGGCCUGUGAGGGUUGCUGGAGGUAUCAGAAGUGCGAAUGCUGACAUAAGUAACGAUAAAGCGGGUGAAAAGCCCGCUCGCCGGAAGACCAAGGGUUCCUGUCCAACGUUAAUCGGGGCAGGGUGAGUCGACCCCUAAGGCGAGGCCGAAAGGCGUAGUCGAUGGGAAACAGGUUAAUAUUCCUGUACUUGGUGUUACUGCGAAGGGGGGACGGAGAAGGCUAUGUUUAGUAGGGCGACGGUUGUCCCGGUUUAAGCGUGUAGGCUGGUUUUCCGAGCAAAUCCGGAAAAUCAAGGCUGAGGCGUGAUGACGAGGCACUACGGUGCUGAAGCAACAAAUGCCCUGCUUCCGGGGAAAAGCCUCUAAGCAUCAGGUAACAUCAAAUCGUACCCCAAACCGACACAGGUGGUCAGGUAGAGAAUACCAAGGCGCUUGAGAGAACUCGGGUGAAGGAACUAGGCAAAAUGGUGCCGUAACUUCGGGAGAAGGCACGCUGAUAUGUAGGUGAAGUCCCUCGCGGAUGGAGCUGAAAUCAGUCGAAGAUACCAGCUGGCUGCAACUGUUUAUUAAAAACACAGCACUGUGCAAACACGAAAGUGGACGUAUACGGUGUGACGCCUGCCCGGUGCCGGAAGGUUAAUUGAUGGGGUCAGCGCAAGCGAAGCUCUUGAUCGAAGCCCCGGUAAACGGCGGCCGUAACUAUAACGGUCCUAAGGUAGCGAAAUUCCUUGUCGGGUAAGUUCCGACCUGCACGAAUGGCGUAAUGAUGGCCAGGCUGUCUCCACCCGAGACUCAGUGAAAUUGAACUCGCUGUGAAGAUGCAGUGUACCCGCGGCAAGACGGAAAGACCCCGUGAACCUUUACUAUAGCUUGACACUGAACAUUGAGCCUUGAUGUGUAGGAUAGGUGGGAGGCUUUGAAGUGUGGACGCCAGUCUGCAUGGAGCCGACCUUGAAAUACCACCCUUUAAUGUUUGAUGUUCUAACGUUGACCCGUAAUCCGGGUUGCGGACAGUGUCUGGUGGGUAGUUUGACUGGGGCGGUCUCCUCCUAAAGAGUAACGGAGGAGCACGAAGGUUGGCUAAUCCUGGUCGGACAUCAGGAGGUUAGUGCAAUGGCAUAAGCCAGCUUGACUGCGAGCGUGACGGCGCGAGCAGGUGCGAAAGCAGGUCAUAGUGAUCCGGUGGUUCUGAAUGGAAGGGCCAUCGCUCAACGGAUAAAAAGGUACUCCGGGGAUAACAGGCUGAUACCGCCCAAGAGUUCAUAUCGACGGCGGUGUUUGGCACCUCGAUGUCGGCUCAUCACAUCCUGGGGCUGAAGUAGGUCCCAAGGGUAUGGCUGUUCGCCAUUUAAAGUGGUACGCGAGCUGGGUUUAGAACGUCGUGAGACAGUUCGGUCCCUAUCUGCCGUGGGCGCUGGAGAACUGAGGGGGGCUGCUCCUAGUACGAGAGGACCGGAGUGGACGCAUCACUGGUGUUCGGGUUGUCAUGCCAAUGGCACUGCCCGGUAGCUAAAUGCGGAAGAGAUAAGUGCUGAAAGCAUCUAAGCACGAAACUUGCCCCGAGAUGAGUUCUCCCUGACUCCUUGAGAGUCCUGAAGGAACGUUGAAGACGACGACGUUGAUAGGCCGGGUGUGUAAGCGCAGCGAUGCGUUGAGCUAACCGGUACUAAUGAACCGUGAGGCUUAACCU
rnacentral:rRNA from 1 species